rnacentral:lncRNA from 1 species
UAGUCUGCCUGAGCAGGGUGGUCAGUAUGGACGCAGCUGGCACAUGGAGACCACCAAGAAGCCUGUGCUUCUAACCAUCAUGAGAACUGCCUCCACCUGGAUCCUGGCAACCAGCCCCAGGAAUAAGUCCUCCACACAUCCUUUAAGGAUAACAAAAGGCGGUGGUGACAUUAUCCAGCAAAGUAAUGAAUCAACAUAACAGCCGGGAUGUUUGACUUUCACACACUGGCUUUCAUUAGGCAAAACAUUAUUGAUCAAGUGACUCUG